CUUGGCAAAAUAAAUUUUCUAAAUUAACUGAGACCUGUCUCAAAUUCUGGGGGCUCACAUUUGGUAACCACGGAGGGAUUCCGAAUGGAAAUGACCCUGACCUUUGGCAAAUCUAUCGAUGCUUGGUACCAGCAUGAGCUAACUUUAUGACUCAUACCAAUAGGAAAAUUUGCUGAGGUCUGAGAGCACCACCUCCAGAAAAUCUCUGCUCUUCCAAAAUUUAGUUGAGAUCUAAAGUUUAUUUUGCUGUACAACUCCUCUUUUUUUGGAGUUUUACUUGCUUCCAACACAAGGAGGUCAAGGUUUUCCUGCUUCCGUAACGACGGAAGGCAGGGAACUCCUGUAUGAAGUUUGAGCUUGCUUCCACAGGGAAGACGUGCUUAUUUGUAUUUUUUCCCUGCUUCUAGGAUUGUGGAGAGCAGUCUUCAGCCUGAGACCCAUCCCUAGUGAGCCAGAAGCCUCCCUAUGUCAGCAAAUCCACUGGUGCCGUGACUUCCCACUGAGCCUCCUGACUUCCUGUUCUGCACUGGCUUGUCUGCUUCCUGGACCUGCUGCACAACUUGCUCCGAGUCCUAUACUUGACGUCCUGCUUUUAGAUCCCAUGCCUUCCAUGCCAUUGGUUUACAAGUUUAUUUUCCUGGGGUACUUCCUUCAGGAACGUUCAAGGAGAGAGCAAAGAAGGAUUCUUCAGGAAACGGAAGAUACACUCUUCUGGGAUUUAGAAGAGAAUCUCAUGAAGGGCCUAUUUCCAGCGGUGUGGACCGGGCUAAAGGAACCAACAAGGGAUGUCGAGGGACCCAGGUGUCAGCCAGAGUGGCCUGAGACGGCAAGGCAAGAGAAGGACAUCAGUGCAGCUGGCCUGCGUGGGUCAACCCCUGAGGCUGGCAGCUACAGAAGGACAGAGAAAGAGCAGAGCAGGGGAGGAAAAGGAACAGAACC